GAUCCCUGUACCUGACCGCCGGUAUCCGGCAACCCAAGGACCUUCUCUUGACCAAAGUAACCGUGGAUGGAGAAGAUCACGAUGCUGAACACCGACGGCACCCUGCUGAAGAACUUCUCCAUGUUGAUCGGAUCCGGCGCCUGGAGCACUUCGGAGAGGAAGUUGAGUGUUUCUCUGCAUGUUUCGGCAGUGUCACCCCACCCCUUCUCCAAUCCCCACUCCUGAAACCUGCAACAGCCAGCAAACACAUCUUUGAUAAGUGUGCUCUUCUCCAGGCCUGCGACGAAGACCUCUGCAAGAAGCAAUGCUGUCUGAAGCUUGUCGGCGGUGUCGAUGGUGUCGCUGAUCAUCAGUUUCUGCAAGAAAGUGAGGAGAGGCCGAGCUCAUUCUACCGUCGACACUGACCAUGCCGAAUGGAACGAUCAAUCAACAUGCAUGCUUAGUUGUUGCUUACCUCGCCGCGGUAGUUCAGAUUUAGCAGGUAGUCCAGCAGCGGCUUCAUGCUCUCCGGCUUGCCGCUCAGCUUUGACGACAUGAACCGGGAGACGAACUGCAUCCCGUUGCCGAUGGACGACGGCAGCGUCAGAUGAGGCGUGGAGAGGUCCAGCGCGCUGAAAUCGACCUCCAGCGAGUUGUCGUCGCGCGCCCUGAAGAAACAACAACAGCAGCCAAUCAAGCCUGGGUUCAUCAGGUUUCUUUCUUGUAGUAUGUAUAGAUGAAUUGAUGAUGCAGUACCAUUUUUCGUCGUA